AUCAGCACUGGGCCAAGGCGUGGUUUACGGACCCGGUUUACAAUGAUCAAUGGAGCUAUGGGAACAGCAGACACCGCGAAGGAGCCUGCUGGCCUCCCAUCUGGAGCCUCACAGACACUGAAGAGAGCAGCAGCUGAGGGUGUAUUUCGAAGGCGGGGGAUGACUAGCAAGUAUGCGCCAGAUGAGACCUCCGGGGUGACCUGGAAUUACAGAGGCCACUCAUUCUCGGAAUAGGGUUAUGAAAACUGUAAUAUUGUAGAGAUGAAAAGGACCUAUGAAGACCACCUGAUCUGUCAACUUUCUCAAAAGACCACACCUACAUGUAGACAAGUAGGUGUGUGACCUUCAAAGCUUUAGGCUCUCAGAACUUCCGGUGUCUCACUAUAUCAUGAAAGGAAGUUCUUCCUUUUGUGUGACCUAUAUAGUACAUGUUGCGGGCAAGUCCCUCUCAUUCCUGGAAGCUCGCUCAUUGAUGCUGGCCAGGGGUCUCCCCACAGCUUUGGAUAGAUGUCUAGAACCCUCCCUUCACUGGAGCAGUAGGUGCAGGGGAAAAUUGGAUGUGCUGGAAGAGAGAAGUUGGCAUGUGGGCCAGCCUGGUACCUGCACCUGACCCCCACCAUCAACUUUGCACCCCCUUUCAUAUCCACAAACAUUUACUGAGCACCAGUUCAGGUCAAGUAUUGUACUGGGCAUAGGAAUGCUCAGAGGACCCUGAUGGACCUUGAGUGCCUUGAGAAGUUACAUAUAUAUAUAUUUACAUAUAUAUGUAAAUGGUGACAUUUAUGUAUACACAUAACAUAAAAUGUAUCAUUUUAACUAUUAACUAGUUCAGAGGCAUUAAGUACACUCACGUUGUGCAGCCAUCACCACCAUCCGUAUCCAGAACUUUUCAUCUUCCUAAAUUAGUUCUCUGAACUCAUUAAAUAAUAACUCCCCACUCCCAUCCUUCUCCCAGCCCCUGGCAACCACCAUUCCACUUCCUGUCUCUAUGGAUUUGACUACUCUAGGAAACUCAUAUAAGUGAAAUCAUACAGUAUUUGUCUUUUUAUGACUGGCUUGUUAUACUUAGCAUAAUGUAUUUAAGGUUCAUUCACGUUGUAGCAUGCGUCAGAAUUUCCUUCUUUUUUUUAAGGCUGUACCAAUGUGUGUGUGUAUAUAUAUAUAUAUAUAUAUAUAUAUAUAUAUAUAUAUAUAUACCACCUUUUAUUUAUUCACUCAUCCCUCUUGAUGGACACUUGGUUUGCUUUCACCCUUUGGCUAUUGUGAAUAAUGAUGCUAUGAACAUGGAUGUACAAAUAUCUGUUUGAGUCCCUGCUUACAAUUCUUUUAGGUAUAUACCCAGAAGUUGAAUUGCUGCAUCCUAUGCUAAUUUUAUGUGAAAUUCUUUAAGAACUGCCAUGUUAAUUUCCAUAGCAGCUGCAUCAUUUUACAUUCCCAUCAGCAAUGCAUAAGAGUUCCAAUUUCUCCACUUAGCUAACACUUGUUAUUUUCUAGGUUUUUUGGGGGUUGUUUUUGGUAAUAGCCGUCCUAAUGGGUGUGGCCUUGAGAGGGUUUAAGUUUGGGUCUUCAGGGCUCACAAACAGGAAAAAGUCAUCUAGAAAGUUCUCACCAAAGAAAUGACAUUUGACCUAGGGAUCUGAAUGGGCAAGAAUUCUCCAGGCAGGGCUUCCCAGGUGGCGCAGUGGUUGAGAGUCCGCCUGCCGAUGCAGGGGACAUGGGUUCGUGCCCCGGUCCGGGAAGAUCCCACAUGCCGCGGAGAGGCUGGGCCCAUGAGCCAUGGCCGCUGAGCCCGCACAUCCGGAGCCUGUGCUCCGCAACGGGAGAGGCCACAACAGUGAGAGGCCCGCGUACCGCAAAAAAAAAAAAAAAAAGAAAAGAAUUCUCCAGGCAGAGGAGGAGAAAGGGGUAACACUAAACAAUGGAGCAAAGGGAGACGAGAAAUUGCACAGCCUGUUUAGGAGCAGCAGGUGGUCAGCACAGGCUGGAAUGCAGGGUGUGCAGGGGAGAGUGUCAAGAUGUGGGGCGAAAAGCAGAUUUAAGGGCUAGACAUUCCACUAAGGCUUUGGACUUUGGGCAACAGGGAGCCAUUGGUAAUACUAUGUGAAAGUGCUGUGCAAACUUCAACACAUGAUAUAAAUGCAAGAACUUAGAACAAAAAAGAAAGAAAUGUUUUUAAAGAAAAAAAUGGGGACUCCCCUGUGGUUAAGAAUCCGCCUGCCAAUAUGCAGGGGACAUGGGUUUGAGCCCUGGUCCGGGAAGAUCUCACAUGCUGCAGAGCAACUAAGCCCGUGCGCCACAACUACUGAGCCCGCGUGCUGCAACUACAGAAGCCCAAGCGCCUAUAACCCGUGCUCCGCAACAAAAGAAGCCACUGCAAUGAGAAGCCCGUGCACCGCAACGAAGAAGAGCCCCCACUCACCGCAACUAGAGAAAACCUGCGCGCCACAACUAGAGAAAGCCUGCGCGCAACAGCAAAGACCCAACACAGCCAAAAAUAAAUAAAUAAAUAUUUUAAAAAAUAAA